AAGUCGUAACAAGGUAUCCGUAGGUGAACCUGCGGAUGGAUCAUUAACAAAUUAGCUUUACGCUGAAUUUUACCACUUGUGAACUGUGAUGCCUCCGGGUGUCACGCCAUUUCAUAUCGUAACAAAAUUUAUAUCGAUAAGGCAUAAAACUUUUAGCAACGGAUCUCUAGGCUCUCGCAACGAUGAAGAACGCAGCGAAUUGCGAAAAGUAAUGUGAAUUGCAUAUACCGUGAAUCAUCAAAUCUUUGAACGCACCUUGCGCUAUUGUGAAUUCAUGAUAGCACGUCUGUUUGAGCAUCGAUCAACCACUCACCUUAUAUUGGCAACAAUAUAUUGGUACCAUGAAAUGUCUGGCUUGGCUAGCAUUUUCAAGUUUAUGCACCAGUGAUUGCAUUACUGACAGUAUUUACGAUACCUGAAUGUAUGCAGUCAGUUUGGGCACAACAGUGGCUACCAGUCACUUUUAUCAACUUGAUCUCAAAUCAGACGAGGAAACCCGCUGAACUUAAGCAUAUUAAUAAGCGGAGGAAAAGAAACUAACAAGGAUUCCCUCAGUAACGGCGAGUGAAGCGGGAACAGCUCAAAUUUAAAAUCUUGCAAAAGAAUUGUAGUUUAUAGAGGCGUCAUUGUCAGCGGCCUGGGUAAAAGUUUCUUGAAAUGGAACAUCAUAGAGGGUGAGAAUCCCGUUUGUGAUCCAGUCAGCCGUUGCACUGUAUUGCGCUCUCAACGAGUCGGGUUGUUUGGGAAUGCAGCCCAAAGUUGGUGGUAAAUUUCAUCAAAAGCUAAAUAACGGCGAGAGACCGAUAGCGAACAAGUACCGUGAGGGAAAGAUGAAAAGAACUUUGAAAAGAGAGUUAAACAGUACGUGAAAUUGCUAAGAGGGAAACGUUUGAGAUCAGUGUUGGGUGUGUUGAAUCAGCUCGUCAGCAAUGGCGGGUGCACUUUAGCGCAUUCAGGUCAACAUUGAUUUGGGGGAUGCUAAAAUUGUGCAGAAAGGUUGCUCAUCCUCGGAUGUAGUGUUAUAGUCUGCGCAGAUGGCAUCUCCUGGAUCAAGGACAGCGGUGUAAACUUUGCGGACGAACGCGUUGCUGUGAGCGUGAUUCUGACUGGCUGCUUGCAGACUGUCGGCUAAGCGUUUUCACUAGCGCGGUAGUACUCUUGCACCAACGAUGUUGACGAAAUGGUCUUAAACGACC
rnacentral:rRNA from 1 species